UACGAAGGGGCUAGCGUUGCUCGGAAUCACUGGGCGUAAAGGGUGCGUAGGCGGGUCUUAAGUCAGGGUGAAAUCCUGGAGCUCAACUCCAGACUGCCUUUGAUACUGAAGAUCUUGAGUUCGGGAGAGGUGAGUGGAACUGCGAAGUGUAGAGGUGAAAUUCGUAGAUAUUGCAAGAACACCAGUGGCGAAGGCGACACGCUG
rnacentral:rRNA from 1 species